CGGUUUCUGGCGUCAACAGUGCUUGAACAGAACCC
rfam:Dipodomys ordii contig_27271, whole genome shotgun sequence.